CCUACGGGUGGCAGCAGUGAGGAAUAUUGGUCAAUGGUCGGGAGACUGAACCAGCCAAGCCGCGUGAGGGAGGAAUGUACUGCGUAUCGUAAACCUCUUUUGUCAGGGAAUAAAGACUGGGACGCGUCCCCUUAUGAGUGUACUUUAUGAAUAAGGAUCGGCUAACUCCGUGCCAGAAGCCGCGGUAAUACGUAGGGGGCAAGCGUUAUCCGGAUUUGCUGGGUGUAAAGGGGGCGCAGGCGGCCGUGCAAGUCAGGAGUCAAAGCCCGGGGCCCAACCCCGGGCCUGCUGUUGAAACUGGGAGGCUGGAGUUGAGGAGGGGCAGGCGGAAUGCGUGGUGUAGCGGUGAAAUGCGUAGAUAUCAGGAGGAACACCGGUGGCGAAGGCAGCCUGCUGGACUGAAACUGACGUUGAGGCCCGAAAGCGUGGGUAGCAAACAGGAUUAGAUACCCGUGUAGUC
rnacentral:rRNA from 1 species